UACGUAGGGGGCAAGCGUCGUCCGGAAUCAUUGGGCGUAAAGCGCGUGUAGGCGGUCCGGUAAGUCCGCUGUGAAAGUCGGGGGCUCAACCCUCGGAUGCCGGUGGAUACUGUCGGGCUUGAGUACGGAAGAGGCGAGUGGAAUUCCUGGUGUAGCGGUGAAAUGCGCAGAUAUCAGGAGGAACACCAAUUGCGAAGGCAGCUCGCUGGGACGUUACUGACGCUGAGACGCGAAAGCGUGGGGAGCAAACAGG
rnacentral:rRNA from 1 species